UACGUCUCAUCUCGUGCAGAAACACUUCAGAGCUAGUAAAGUUGGAAAUGGAGAUUUCUUUGCUCAACUGUUGCAGAAAUUUAGAACACAACAAAGUCUGAGCUUCAUGGCUGUAAAACCAUGUAAAACCACCAGCCAGCUGGUGAAAGGUGUGAUCGAGUCAUGGUUGAGUUGCAGCUUCUGCAUGCAGUUUAUCGAGCUGGUGCUAUCCCAAGUGUAACUGCAGGAAAACUUCUUGAAUUGCCAGGUGAAGUCUGCGCUUUUUUUUUGCAGUCUAAUGUGCGCAUGGAUUCGUUGCAGUCAUCCAGUGAAAGGUGUGAU